rnacentral:rRNA from 1 species
CACGUAGGGGGCAAGCGUUGUCCGGAUUUAUUGGGCGUAAAGAGCUCGUAGGCGGUUCAGUAAGUCGGGUGUGAAAACUCUGGGCUCAACCCAGAGAGGCCACCCGAUACUGCUGUGACUUGAGUACGGUAGGGGAGCGGGGAAUUCCUGGUGUAGCGGUGAAAUGCGCAGAUAUCAGGAGGAACACCAGUGGCGAAGGCGCCGCUCUGGGCCGUAACUGACGCUGAGGAGCGAAAGCGUGGGUAGCAAACAGG